GAGAUCAUUACCGAGUUGAUUCGGGCUCCGGCCCGAUCCUCCCACCCUUUGUGUACCUACCUCUGUUGCUUUGGCGGGCCGCGGUCCUCCGCGGCCGCCCCCCUCCCCGGGGGGGUGGCCAGCGCCCGCCAGAGGACCAUCAAACUCCAGUCAGUAAACGAUGCAGUCUGAAAAACAUUUAAUAAACUAAAACUUUCAACAACGGAUCUCUUGGUUCUGGCAUCGAUGAAGAACGCAGCGAAAUGCGAUAAGUAAUGUGAAUUGCAGAAUUCAGUGAAUCAUCGAAUCUUUGAACGCACAUUGCGCCCUUUGGUAUUCCGAAGGGCAUGCCUGUUCGAGCGUCAUUACAACCCUCAAGCUCUGCUUGGUAUUGGGCACCGUCCUUUGCGGGCGCGCCUCAAAGACCUCGGCGGUGGCGUCUUGCCUCAAGCGUAGUAGAACAUACAUCUCGCUUCGGAGCGCAGGGCGUCGCCCGCCGGACGAACCUUCUGAACUUUUCUCAAGG
rnacentral:rRNA from 1 species